rnacentral:lncRNA from 1 species
GGUUGGUCUAUUUUGGAUGAAUUUGGGCAAGUGCAAUGUUGAUGGUGGUUAAGAGAGUUUAAAGAUUGGUUUGUUCUUCUUGUCUAUUUUCUAGAAACAUUGUAGCCAUUCUUGCUUCUUGUUGUGCAUUGUUUUCAACAAUCAAUUGACGAACAUGGGAAAUGAUAUCUAGAGGAGUUUGAGUAGUGGGUGGAGAAGGAAUGAAGGUGUUCGUAGAUAUAGUAGCUAACAAUUGUGGUUUAGAGGUAAAGACUAUUGAUUGAUGUAGAGGUGGGGAGUAGAUCAACAUGGCAAUUCCCUUUCUUCUUCAUAGGGUUCAUCACAGAUAACAAAAGGUGUGCGAGACUGAGUAAAUGCAUCAUUGACAAGUUCAUUUUCUAGAGAUUGAAUGACGACUUC